rnacentral:rRNA from 1 species
UACGGGGGGGGCAAGCGUUGUUCGGAAUUACUGGGCGUAAAGGGCGCGUAGGCGGCCUGUUAAGUCGGACGUGAAAUCCCUCGGCUCAACCGGGGAACUGCGUCCGAUACUGGCGGGCUUGAGUUCGGGAGAGGGAUGUGGAAUUCCAGGUGUAGCGGUGAAAUGCGUAGAUAUCUGGAGGAACACCGGUGGCGAAGGCGGCAUCCUGGACCGACAUUGACGCUGAGGCGCGAAAGCCAGGGGAGCAAACGGG